GAAGAAACUGAGGACCUAACGAAUCAGGUGCUAGAUGAAAUUGUUGUUGACAUUGCAUCCCAGUUAUCUUCAGCUCCCAAAGGAAAAAUUGCAGGGAAGAAUGUACAAAAUGUUGGAAGCUCUGAUGUGGAUGAACUUGAAAAGCGGUUGGCGGCUCUUAGAAACCCGUGAGCAAAAGCUCACUCGAUCUCCCGAUUUCAUUUCUGUAUUGCUUGAUGU
rnacentral:misc_RNA from 1 species